rnacentral:rRNA from 1 species
UCCUUCUUUUUCAAUCGUUAAUCGUAAUUACUGGGCGUAAAGCGCACGCAGGCGGUUUGUUAAGUCAGAUGUGAAAUCCCCGGGCUCAACCUGGGAACUGCAUCUGAUACUGGCAAGAUUGAGUCUCGUAGAGGGGGGUAGAAUUCCAGGUGUAGCGGUGAAAUGCGUAGAGAUCUGGAGGAAUACCGGUGGCGAAGGCGGCCCCCUGGACGAAGACUGACGCUCAGGUGCGAAAGCGUGGGGAGCAAACAGG